AGAUUCUGGUUUGCGUAGAUCCUGACACAGACCAUGACAGGCAUGCCUCAGUAUGCCCAUGUAACACCUCUGCUUCACAAUCUGUACUAGUUGCCAGCUUGUUUCCCAGUACAAUUCAAGGUGCUGGUCAUUACUUCUAAAGCCGUACAUGGCAUAGGACUUGGUUAUUUGCGGGAUUGUCUCCCAUAGUAUUUGUUCAGCUGUUUCAAUCUGGCAGGAUUGGCACACUCCAGGUUCCUUCAAUUAAACAAUGUCAUCUAUUAGGACCACAGAAUCACACCUUCUUUGUAGCAGCAUCUGGCCUCUGAAACAAGAUUCUCCCCAAGAUCUAGAUGGCCCCCACUCUGCUGUUGUUUAGAAGAGUCAAGAAACCUGACCCAGGCCUUUGGCAACGGAGAGUGAAAUCUUUUGCGUCAUUUCCAUCCAAUCUGUCAUUCUUGCCAUCUUUUAUCUUUUUUUCCCCAUUUUAAUUGGUUUUAUUGUAAUUUCCUUCUUUGAUUGUUGUGAGCCACCUAGUCAUCAGGAGUCAGGUAGCAUACAUGUUUGAUAAAUAAAUAAAUGGGAUUUGGGGUCAAGGAGCUUGUAGCUCAGCUCAAAGCAACAUGCCACUGGGUUAGAAAUAUGAAAGGCCUUGCUGUUGUUAGGCACUCAACACCUGAGCUGAGGUAUGUCCCCUAAUCCUGCCGAGACCCAACCAUGGGAUCUGGAAUGAUGAGUUACUUUUAAGAGGAUGCAAUGAGGCUGCCCACUAAUUCUUGCUGCCCUCAGAAAAGCAUCUAUCCUUGCCCAGGAUGACGAGUCCAUCCAUGGCCACAAGAAAACCUUUUUCUUCACUCUUCCCACAGCUUGAGGCUACACAUUUCCAAAUGAACACUGACCCUGUCAUACUGGGCAUUUCUUUCUCUCCCUCUUUGCUAGCUGGCGCCACAAUAUCAGUUAUGGUUGAAAUCUUCAAUCAAACAUACCGUCCAUCUGCCUUUGUGAUUGUGGGAUUUAUCAACUGGAUGGGACUCUUUCUGCUUGGGAUGAUCUUCCCAUUCAUUGUGGAAUAUCUUGGUCCCUUCUGCUUCCUGAUUUUUAUGGGGAUCCUGGCUGUUUCAAGUGUAAUCAUCUACUUAUAUCUUCCAGAAACAAAGGGAAAAUCCAUUCUUGAAAUUACAAUGGAGUUUAAUAAGUUAAAUUAUGGAAAGAAACAAGUUUUUCUCACAGAAAAUAAUUCUCCAAAGGAAACUGUACUUUGUACCAAACUUUAACUCUUGAACUACAAAAUCUCCAUAUCUCAAGAACUGUAGGGCACAUAAAAUUGUAAACCAGACCAUUUACAACACUGAAGCACUUGUUCUGCGAUUUUGCAUAGCUUCACAAAGAGCAAAACCCACCUGUUUACGUUUGAUGAACUUUUGAUGUGCCCGAUUGUAUCCUGUGCUGCAAAGCCUAUCUUCUCAAUUCCUGUGUCCAGAGAGCCUUUCUAAACCAGGUGGAGCAUAAUCAAAUUAACUGUGUAAAUUAAACACUUAAAAUUA